rnacentral:lncRNA from 10 species
GUCCCCUUCCACACUGUGCAAGCUUUGUUCUUUUGCUCUUCACAUUAAAUCUUGCUGCUGCUCACUCUUUGGGUCCAUGCCAUCUUUAAGAGCUGUAACACUCACCGCGAAGGUCCGCGGCUCCAUUCUUGAAGUCAGCAAGACCACGAACCCACCAGAAGGAACCAGCUACGGACACAAAACUUCAUAUAAGUAAGAUUUCAGGUUCCUCUUUACUGUGCCCUGGGACCAAGGUAAGCAGGCACAAAGGAAUGGCUUCUGAAACAUGUAGACGAGCAUAGGCACAUACCAGCAUAUGCUUUCAAUAAUGAGGAAGAAGAAAACGAAUAUAACGGCUGAGAAGCUUCCAAUAUACCACCAAAUCCGGACUCUGGAGACUCCCAAGCAGACUGUAAAAGCUGAUUGCCUCAAAGUGUCAAAAUCCAAAUCUAAAAUCAUAUCCUGUCCUUUCUUCUGGCACCUAUCAAGAUGAUUCUGAGGGGUUUAUAAGUUUCUUAUAAUAACCUAUUUCAUAGUAUGGAAAAGUUGUCAUGAAACUCCUGUUUGUUACCUCAUUAUGGUGUCCUUGUUUCUUGUUUAGCAAUAGCCUAAACAGGCUCUGCGGGAUGCUCAGAAAAUGGUUACAUGGGUGUAGCUACAAGCAAAACAGGAAUGCAGAGAAAAGAACUAACAGGCCCUGCUGGUUUCUCAGAUGCAGUGCUGCAUAUUCCAAGAGGCCUUCAUUAGGAGACAGGCAUUAGGAGGGGUUGAUUGCAGGCCAAUCAACUAGCUGCAGUUUCAAGGCUGCUUCCAGCUUACUCGUCUGUUUGAAUAAGUUGAAGUAAAUUUAGCUACAAGGAGACUCCACUUCUAUUUAAUCAAAUAGUCUUAAUGCAGUAAGGAAUCUUAGUGCAACAAACCAUCACCAUCCUAAUGCGAUCACCUUGUAAGAUUCCUCAUCUAGUGUUUGAAUCCCUUGGGGGGCAACCCCCAUUAUUGCUAACCAGGUUUCCUUUAACAUCUUCAGUAAUUUAAAUUUCACUGCCAACACCAGCGAACCUGCUCUUUUAUUGAAUAACUCGAACUGUUAUGAAGUUGUUAUACUGAGCAGCAAAGUAUUUACUAAAUAGAAAAUGCCCUACUGUUCUAAUUCUAUCCCUUGGUAUGACAUUAAAAAAAAACUCCAGUCCCUUUUUCUCAUGUGAUUCCUUCAAACAUUUCAAAGCAACCAGAGUAUUUUGCCCAAAUAGUCUUGUUUUCAUUACAGCUAUGUAUAGUUUGUUCAUCACAUGGUUUCAAGUCUCUUUACAAUCUUUGUCAUUUUUCCCUGGACGUAUUUGGAACUAAACGUUAUCCCAGAGUUGAAUACAAAAUUCUGUGUCUGUGUACCAAAAAAUUGUACAUUCCUAUGGCAUUUACAGUUACAAAAAAGUUUUAAGUAUUUUUUCAGAUACUCUGUUAUCUUACCUUUUUCUCUGUAGUAUACUAUUUGGGAACAGUAAGUUCCAAAGCGCUUUUUGGGACAGUAACUUUUUAGGGAACAAUUCUUCUUUUUUUACUCAAUUUUUGAAUUUUACUCCUAAACCUGUGAAAUCUAGUAGUGGAUACAAUAUCACAACCCAAGGGUAAUUCUGGAUCUCUAAUUUUUCAUUCAAAAACUGGUCUAUCUUAAGCAGCUUAUAGGAAUUCUUUUUUCUUUUGAUUUUGAAAGUGAUUCACUUCACACAGGUAGCUUUGCUUAGGUUUAUGGCUGGUGUUCUGAUUUCUUGAUGCCCAUGCCAUACCAGUAGUUACAUAUUUUGAAUGUCACUCAUUCCUGAUCUUCAAUAUAUGUCAAAGGGAUGGAACAUAUAUUGAGGAAUAGAUCUAAUGUAAAAUAUUAGAAUAGUACAUGUAUAUGUACUCCUCUAAAAUGCUAGAGAAAAUAAACUUAUAAAUGUUAUAUUGCCUAUAAUAUGCACAUUAAGGAAAGACUUAUUCUUUGAAUUGGCCAAUUUAUCUAUUUUUAUAUGUUGAUAGUUAUGAAAGUUAAAUGUUUUCUACCCUCCGGAAGUACACCUGUGUGAUUUUUUUUUUUUUUUUAAGUUAAUCUCCUUUAAGCAAAAUGUGUUUGGUAUUUGGAAUGUUGGGUCCUUUCUGUGGAGGUUGUUUAAAAUGUAAAAUAAUCCAUUGUUCUCAGCUAAAAUAGUUCUCUGUUACUAUCUUCUUGCGAUCUUUGUCCUUCAUGCAGUUUUAAAUCCGGAUGCAUAGUUUUCCUGCCAGAAGUUAAUGCUUACUUCUCAUUUGUUUUCUUUUCCUGUUGCCUUCAGAGCUCACAGAGAGAAGAUGCUAUUUCUGCAAUCUCUAAGACAUGUGGCUUUCCCAGGCAGAUUGUUUAUUUAAUGAAAAAGAAGAGAGGUCCACUCUAUUUGUUUGGAGUUAUGUAAAUAUUCUUUAAAAGGAGGAUUUCCUCAUUUAUUCCACUUCAGUCUUCCUGUUCAGAGAGAGCUUUAAAUGCACCUUAAAUCACUAUAUGAUGACAGCUUGAGUUACAGUUUUAUAACAGUACCAAAUAUAUUCAAGACGUUGUGAAUAAGAAAGGAAAAAUGGAUUAAUUCCUAAUUUAUCUCUCUAUAUAUUACAAUAUAAGAUUAUUGCAUAUCUUCACGUAUAAAACCAGUUUAUCAUUAUAAACCUAGUAAUAAAAAUAACACAUAGUGCUAUGAUAAUAGGUAAGUUUGAAUAGAAGGUAUCAAAAAGGAGACAGAUAAGGUAUUGUUCUAUACAUUUAGUACUAAUAGUUUUGUUUCUUUUUUUAUUUCACAUUCUUACUCAGGUAGAGUUUGCUCACCAUGUUGUAAUUGAAGUUGGAAAACUCUUUAAAAGGUACCAUAAUAGAAGGAUGUUUUCAAUCGGAAACAGUAUAUUUUUUAUUUCUCUUUUCAUCAUCUUGUGAGUUGAGUUUUAAAUUAAACAUAGAAUUCAGAUAACACCAUGAAUAAACCUUAAAGCAUUUCACAUUUUGCAAAUAUAAUUAUUUCUCAAAUAUGUAACCAGAAUGGGCAUAUGGUAGGUACUACAGAGAGAAAAGGGUAACAAUGAUUAAAAUAUCAUUAAAAAUAAUAUUGUGGAAUGUUAAUAUUUAAUAUAACAAAUGUUUACACAUAUAAUUAUACAUAAUAUAUACAUAUGUUUUACAUGCACUACAUAUAACACAUAUAAUGUAUAUUUCACAUAACAUGUUACAAAUAAUCUUAUAUAUGUAAUUUAAAUAUAUUUAUAUAUUUAUAAAUAUAAAUACACUGUCAAGGGUUGGAAUUACAUUAGAGCUUUUUCAUUUUAUGUAGUGAAUACUCAUAGAUCAGGUACAGAUAUUUUUUCUCAGAACAUUUUUAGACUGUAUUAAAUAUUAUAGUAUAAAAUUGGUGAAGUGAAGCCAUCAAAAUGACUAUACCAGCUCUUUUAUAACUACUUUUAAAAAGGCAAAUAUUAGUAUAUAAUUUUAUCCAAAGCAUAAUAUCUAUGGACGUAGAUGACCUGUUUAAGGAGAAAAGAAACAUGUUCAAAUCACAUUGAAAUAACAGAGAGAAAUGUCAGGGUUUCAGUGUUACGUGAGGGAAACAUUAUGUUUCCUCCAAAUAAUAAUAAGUUGCCAGGUAUUUUAUCAUAGUUUCUUGAAAUUGACACAGACCUUUAGGUCUGUUGUGCAUCGUACGUAAUUUUCUUGUUUGGCGUUGCACUGAUUUUAAAAGUUCUGCAAUAAAGCACAUUAAUUGCAUUGUUUUCUUUUCAUUUAGAAUUUCAGACAUUAUUUCCAGAAAAGUCAUAGUUUGAAGCGCUUCAAAAUCUUUGAACUUAGAAAAGGAAAGGAAGUUCCUUUAUGUCAAAACUGUGAUAAAAGCAAACAAACAUUUAAUAAAUGUUGGAUAGACUUAAAUAGUUUUGUGUUCAUCUCAAGCAUACAUUGAAAGCUUAUUAAACUGUAUUAACUUGUGUAAUAAAUGUUAUAAAAGAAUCAGAGUUCUGGAAGAUUCUUGUUUCCUUUAGGCAGAACCACAUUUGAAGCAAACUGAAGUGAGAGAAAGCAUGAUUGUGCAAAAGAGCUUAGAGUUUUAUACACCCUCUCAACAACUCUUCCUAUUAGUCUCACCUGUACUGCCAGGUCAUUCAUGCUUCCUUUUCAUUUGUCUUCUUUUGUCACUGUAAGUUAAGCCAAGUAAUUGCUGCCUCUGCUGUCCUCAGGUUGAAACAGAGUUAAAUUAGCUCACCUCUAUGUGUGCCAGAUGUUCCUUUGGUCAAGGUGGCUGGUUCUCUCUGUUUCUGUAGGUAAAGAAUUGUAAUUGCUUGAGCUUCUAGCCAUUGUUCUUUUUUAUCAAACCUUUCGUCACCAUGAAGAUUUCCUUCUGUGCCUUUUGCAGUCAUCCACAGCUUUCACAAACGAGGGCUAAUUAUCACUGAUGUGACUGACUGCCAUUAUUUCCUAGUUAUAAUUUUCUCAAUACAAUUUCUCUUCACAACUCCUCUUAGGAUACUUUUGAGCUAUUUCCACUUAUUAGUUUAACAAUUUUGUAACUUCUUUCUUUGUAUUUCCUAAUGUAGAAACAUAGGUGGAUUGAAACCCACGUUUCCAAGGAAUAAAGCUAAGAGUGUGUUUAAAGAGAAGGCUCAUAUGUAUUACUGAGCUUCUCUACUGUUAGAGUAUAUAGAAGAUAGUCUCUUCUUUAUUUUGCAAAUACGACAACUGAAUCACAGGGCAUUCAUUACUUUAGUAAACCUCUACUUAGCAAAAUCUUUACAACUUACUGCUAUUAACAAUUAGAGUAUUGGUAAUACUGAGUGAUGUAAUUAUUGCUAUACAGGUGAUUUCAGAGCCUGGUUAACACAGAAAUCUAAAUCUCAGAUCUAACUUAUUUCAUUCCAAGGUUAGGGAGGGAAUUUUGCUUAGAUUUCCUGCUCCCAGUGAAUCUUGAGUGGUGUCCAAUAGUUCUAAGCCAUGGACACUGGGUUUAAGUCACUAUGGGAAUUCCUCAUUGAUUGGUUCCACUGAAUUGGUAAAUACAGUUAUUCACAUCUCAGUUAGGUGGUAUGUUCUGCAGUUAGCUUAUAGGGCAAAAUCCCACAUAUUAAAAAUUCCAUGCCCCACAUCCCUCCCUCCCCUACCAUCACAUCCUACACUAGAGUGAUACAUUUGUUACAAUCCAUGAACCAACACUGACACAUUGUUAUCACCCAAAGUCCAUAGUUUACAUGAGAGUUCACUCUGUGUUGUACAUUCCAUAAGUUUUGACAAAUGUGUAAUGGCAGAUAUUCAUCCUUAUAGUAACAUACAGAAUAGUUUCACUUCCCUAAAAGUGACCUGUGCUCUACCUGCUUAUUUGUAUGUCUCUCUAUUUUUCCCACACCCUGGCAACCAUGUAUUCUUUUACUGCCUCCAUGGUUUUGCCUUUUCCAAAAUGUAUAAACGUGGAAUCAUAUGGUAUGUAGCCUUUCCAAACUGUCUGUUUUCACUUAAUAAUAUGCUUUUCAUGUUCUUCCGUGUCUUUUCAUGGCUUGGAAAAUGAUACUACUUUUGAGUCAGAAAAUUUUAAGGAGCACUUAAAAGCAAUGUUUUUGUUUCAUCCUGAAAAGAGAAGAAAAUAUGCUUUUUGAGUAGAAAUUUUAUAUAUUAUUUGAAGAUUCCCUGCUUCCCACAUAGAAUGUGGUCAGGAGCAUGUGAAAACUAUUACAGAUCACUUAAUGUGGAAGUUAAAUAAUAUAAAAAGUAAUGAAAACUAGAUUAUCAAUUCUGAUCUAUGUUCAUUAAGAAGCAUGAACUAUUAACAAGUAUGUAGAUAGUUUUUACUGUUGCUCAACCCUUGUAAGCUACAAAUAAGAACCAACUGUAUCUUACAGAAUUGAAUUGAGUGAAACUUAACAUUAUAGUGCCCCAAAAAAGAGAAAGGUUUAAACGUAAUUUUUGUCUAAACUUAUCCAAUUAUAAAUAUUCUUUCAUUCUAAUUUAAUUAAAAUGAAGGUAGACCUUGAUGUGAUAUACAACUUCAGCAAAGUUUCAGGUUACAAAACCAAUGUACAAAAAUCACUUGUAUUCCUGUGCACCAACAACAUCAAGCUGAGAGCCAAAUGAAGAAAGAAAUCUCAUUCCUAAUAGCCACAAAAAGAAUAAAAUACCUAGGAAUACAGCUAACCAAGGAGGUGAAAGACCUCUGCAAUGAAUAUAAAACGUUGAGUGAAAUCAAUGAUGACACAAACAAAUGGAAAAACAUUCCAGGCUCAUGAAUAGGAAGAACCAAUAUUAUCAAAAUGGCCAUACUGCCCAAAACAGCAUUACUUCGGUGCUAUUCCUAUCAAAUUACCAAUGACAUUCUUCAUGAAAUUAGAAAAAACUAUUUUUGAAUUCAUAUGGAACCAAAAAAGAGCUCAGAUAGCCAAGGCAAUUCUAAGCAAACACUGGAGGCCUCACGUUACCUGACUUCAAAUUGUUCUACAAGGCUCAGUAAUGAAAACAGCAUGGUACUGGUACAAAAACAGACACAUAGACCAAUGGAACAGAACAGAGAGCCCAGAAAUAAUGCCAUAUACCUACAACCAUUUGAUCAUUGACAAAAUCCACAAAACAAGCAAUAGGGCAAGGAUUCUCUAUUCAAUAAAUGGUGCUGGGAUAACUGGCUGACCAUAUGCAGAAGAUUGAAACUGGACACUUUCCUUACACCAAAUAUAAAAAUUAAGAUGGAUUAAAAACUAAAACCAAAGGCUAACAUCAAAAACUACAACAACCCUGGAAGAUAACCUAGAAAAUACUAUUCUGGACAUAGGACUUGGCAAAGACUUCAUAACAAAGACACCAAAAGCAAUUGCAACAAAAACAAAAAUUGACAAAUGGGACCUAAUUAAAGAGCCUCUGCACAACAAAAUAAACUAUCAAAAAUGUAAACAGACGAUCUACAGAAUGGAAGAAAAUAUCUUCAAACUAUGCAUCUGACAAAGGCCUAAUAUCCAGAGUCUAUGAGAAACUUAAAUUUACAAGCAAAAAACAACGCCAUUAAAAAGUGGGCCAAGGACAUGAACAGACACUUUUCAAAAGAAGACAUUCAUGCAGCCAAGAAGCAUAUGAGAAAAUGCUCAACAUCCUUAUCAUUAAAUAAAUGCAAUUCAAAACUGCAAUGAGAUACUUUUCACACCAAUCAGAAUGGCUAUUAUUAAAAAGUCAAAAAAUAACAUGUUGGUGAGGUUGUAGAGAAAAGAGAAUGCUUAUACACUGCUGGUGGAAAUGUAAACUACUUCAGUUAUUGUGAAAAGCAGUUCGGUAGUUUCUAAAAGAACUUAAAAUAGAAGUACCAUUUGAGCCAGCAAUCUCAUUGUUGGGUAUACACCCAAAGAAAUAUAAGUUGUUCUACCACAAAGGCACAUGCACAUGUACGUUCAUUGCAGCACUAUUCACAAUAGCAAAGACAUGCAACAACCUAAAUGUCCAUCAAAGGUAGACUGGAUAAAAAAUGUUGUACAUACACCAUAGAAUACCAUGUAACCAUAAAAAAAGAAUUAGAUCAUGUGCUUUGCAGCAACAUGGAUGGAGCUGGAGGCCAUUAUCCUAAGCAAACUGAUGGAGGAACAGAAAACCAAAUACCUCAUAUUCUCACUUGUAAGUGGAAGCUAAACACUGAGUACACACAGACACAAAGAAGGGAACAACAGACAUGGGGGCCUACUUGAGGGUGGAGGGUGGCAGGAGGGUGAAGUUUGAAAAACUACCUAUCGGGUACCAUGUUUAUUACCUGGGUGACAAAAUAAGUUGUACACUAGACCACCAUGACACACGAUUUACCUACAUAGCAAACAUGUACACAUACCCCUGAACCUAAAAUAAAAGCUUAAAAUAAAAAACAAAAUAAAAUAAAAUACAAGGUAUAGAAUAGGGUAGUCAUUGGAAGUUCAUGAUUAAAUAAAUAUAACUGUGGUGGGAGGAUCACGACGGAAAAUAAUUUUAUUUUAUUUUUCUGUGCUUUAAAUCUUAUGUCCUAUGGUUUGUUAAUAAAAAUCAUGGACUCUCAAAAGUUUAAAGGAACUUAAAAUGUCUUCAAAAUUGAGGAACUGUAUAUAUUUUAUACUUUUUGACUAUUUCUUCUUUCAGCUGGUUGUUUUGGCAUAGAUAUUAACUCUGAUAUUUAUCUAAGAAGAGCUGCUAUUAUUGAUUCUAUGUUAUAGAAUAUGUUUUCAACCUUGCUCUAAUCCUAGGAGGGAAUUUAACCAGCUAGGAACGUGAUACAGAUCACCACAAGAAAACUGGGUGGAUGAUCACUGUCACCGGUGAAAAUUUGUUUUGUGUGCAUAUAUAAAUGUUCCCUAUUUACAAUGGCUUGACUUCCUGGUGGUUAAAAAGUGAUAUACAUUCAGUAGAAACCAAACUUUGAAUUUCAAAUGUUGAUCUUUUCCUGGGAUAGGGAUAUGAGGUCUGAUACUCUCUAGAUGCUGGGCAGCAGCAGGGAGCAGUAGCAAUCAUGAGGGUAAACAAACACUACUGUAUUCCAUACUGUACUAUAUUCAAUACAGUACAAGAGAUAUUCAACACUUUGUUAUAAAAUAGGUUUGCAUUCUAUGAAUUUGCUGUAGGCUAAUGUAACUGUUCUGAUCAUGUUUAAGGUAGGCUAGGCUAAGCUAUGGAUUCCAUAGGUUAUUUGUAUUAAAUGCAUUUUUGACUUAUAAUAUUUUCAACUUAAUGAUGGGUUUAUAAGAAGGUAAGUUGAAGUGCAUCUGUAUAUAUCAAUCAAUAAAGAAUGGGCUUCCACUUCAUUUUAAAAAAUUGCUUUAAAAAUAAAUUGAAAUUUACUUAGGAGAGGUUUGUUUUGUGUUAAAUAUUAGUUUUGUUUUACACUUAAAUUAUCUGGAUUUAUUAAUUUCCCAAUGUCUUCACUAAGGCAAAAUUUAAUUGGAAUUGAAAUCAGAUACAUUAGACACAUUGGAGUUUAUAUAAAAUCAAGAAAAUUUUCUAAGUAUAACAUUAAUAGUGAUCAUUCUAAUCAUAAUUAUUCAAAAGACCUGGUUCAAUACAGCAUUGGAUUUAUUCUAUAGAAAAUGAGAUAGAAAUAUUAAGUGCACUGAAAAUAAACUCAACUUCUCUAUAAUAUUUUCUUUUCACUAAAUAUUAAUAUUUAUAUUUCAAGGAUAAACAUUGGUAGGGAAUCUGCUGAAAUCAGGUAACAGUAUUCUAUGAAUCUAGUGAUUAGAAAGGAAUUCAACUAACUGGUAAAGGGGAUACAUUUACAUAUUUUCCAGGCUAUCACCACCCUUUUUAAACAGUCCUGACUCGUCUUUGGCAAUUGUGCUCUAUGGGAAAAUAAUAUAACACUUUGUUUUAUAAUUUUAACUUUGGAAAAACACAGCCUCAAAUAAAUGACUAAGUUUGCUUUUAUUCCCAUUAAACGUUAAACUUAAAAGUUCAGAUUUGAGGCUGGGUGCGGUGGCUCACGCCUGUAAUCCCAGCACUUUGGGAGGCUGAGGCAGGUGGAUAGCUUAAGCUCAGGAGUUUGAGACCUGCCUGGCUAACAUGGUGAAACACUGUCACUACAAAAAAAUUAGGUUGGUAGGGAGGCACAUGCCUGUGGUCUCAGCUACUCAGGAGGUUGAGGUAGGAGGAUAACUUGAGCCCAGGAGGUCCAGGCUGCAGUGAGCUGAGAUCACACCACUGCACUCCAGCCUGGGUGACAGAGCAAGACCCUGUCUCAAAAGAACAACAGCAAGAAAAAACAAAAAUUCAAACUUAAAAGUGUGAAUGCAUCCACUGUUGGGGAAAUAUAAUUAGAAACUAAAUCUUUCCCCAACCCAGAACACUUCUCAACAAACAUAGUAGAGAAAUAAGCCAGUUUUAUUAUUUUAAAAAGCAUGAAACCAGGAUGUCAUGCUAAUCACAUUGAAAAGACAGAAAGGAAUUUCACCCCCUAUAGGUCUAAGCAGAUAGACUUAUUACAUACAUGCGCUCAAGACAGACAAUCAUUAGUCCUCAAGUAAGAGGACUUUGCAAUACCUUUUGUCACAUUCUUUUAUCUUAAUUUUAUCAUGAUAAUUGGGGAGACUCCCUGUGGCUGUAUCAGGAGGAGUAACAAACUUCUCAUUGCAAAUUGGAACAAGAUGCCCACAGAUGUUAAGCUCUUUUCCUCCCACACUAACUGAAAGAUAGGGCCACUAUCUCUCUUUAUGUUUGCCUUUCAAAAAGAUGCCUACCCGAUGAAGUCUUCCUAAAAGGCACAAGAGAACAGGAUUCAAAAGUUUCUGGAUGGCUGAACAUGUGGAGGGUCCUGGAGGGUUGACCACCCAGGGAGGAUGUGGAAGCUCCACACCCCUUCCCCCAUACCUUGCCCUAUGUACCUAUAGUGAGUGAGUUCUGGUGAGAUCCGGUCAUGUAAAAGUGUGUAGCACCUCCCCUCUCACUCUCUUGCUCCUGCUUUUUCCAUGUGAAGGACGUGAUACUGCUUCAUCUUCCACCACAAAUAAAAGCUCCCUGAGGCCUCCCCAGAAGAUGAAUCAUGUUGGCACCAUGCUAAUACAGCCUGCAGAUCCAAUUAAACUUCUUUUCCUUAGAAAUUCCGCAGUAUCAGGUCUUUCUUUAUAUCAAUGUGAGAAUGGACUAAUCCACAUGCCACCUACCAGACCUUGCAGUACCAUGCUCACGGGCGCCAUACCUGCUGACCAGACCUUGCAAACUGUGUGAAGAAACUAAGUUGAGCAGCAUUCCACCAAAAAUCUUACUCAAAGGAGUUUACCCUCUCAUCUACAGUAUGUACACAAAUCAGGAGAAUGACCCACCUUGACCCCUUGACUCAUUAUAAUACUAAAAUCCCUGCCAAAGGAGGGCGUAUCCACCAUUUUUUGAUCAUGUGUUGCGUGAAGAAGUACGUUUCUAAACUGUGCUUAUGCCACUGAAACUCCUCCCUAAUCAUGCCUUGAUACCUUUCCUCUUUCCCUCCAGAAUUAAAAAAUCUUGGGUGGCUCCUCAUGGGAAGGCAGAGAACUAUCAUCCCUGUGCUGUUUCCCUUGUGCUCAAGCAUAAGCCCCUAAUAAAAUCUUGUCUGAAAC